AGUUUGAUCAUGGCUACAGAACGAACGCUGGCGGCAUGCCUAACACAUGCAAGGUCGAACGAGACCUUCGGGUCUAGUGGCGCACGGGUGCGGUAACGCGUGGGAACCUGCCUUAGGUUCGGAAUAACUCAGAGAAAUUUGAGCUAAUACCGGAUAAUGUCUUCGGACCAAAGAUUUAUCGCCUUUAGAUGGGCCCGCGUAAGAUUAGCUAGUUGGUGGGGUAAAGGCCUACCAAGGCGACGAUCUUUAGCUGGUCUGAGAGGAUGAUCAGCCACACUGGGACUGAGACACGGCCCAGACUCCUACGGGAGGCAGCAGUGGGGAAUAUUGGACAAUGGGGCGAAAGCCUGAUCCAGCAAUGCCGCGUGAGUGAUGAAGGCCUUAGGGUUGUAAAGCUCUUUUACCCGAGAUGAUAAUGACAGUAUCGGGAGAAUAAGCUCCGGCUAACUCCGUG
rnacentral:rRNA from 1 species